UACGUAGGGGGCGAGCGUUGUCCGGAUUCAUUGGGCGUAAAGCGCUUUAAGGCGGUUCGCUAAGUCGGGUGUGAAACCUCCAGGCUCAACCUGGAGACGCCACUCGAUACUGGCGUGACUAGAGUUCGGUAGGGGACCACGGAAUUCCUGGUGUAGCGGUGAAAUGCGCAGAUAUCAGGAGGAACACCAGUGGCGAAGGCGGUGGUCUGGGCCGAUACUGACGCUGUAGAGCGAAAGCGUGGGGAGCGAACAGG
rnacentral:rRNA from 1 species